GAUGAACGCCGGCGGUGUGCCUAAUACAUGCAAGUCGAACGCGUUGGCCCAACUGAUUGAACGUGCUUGCACGGACUUGACGUUGGUUUACCAGCGAGUGGCGGACGGGUGAGUAACACGUAGGUAACCUGCCCCAAAGCGGGGGAUAACAUUUGGAAACAGAUGCUAAUACCGCAUAACAAUUUGAAUCGCAUGACUCAAAUUUAAAAGAUGGUUUCGGCUAUCACUUUGGGAUGGACCUGCGGCGCAUUAGCUUGUUGGUAGGGUAACGGCCUACCAAGGCUGUGAUGCGUAGCCGAGUUGAGAGACUGAUCGGCCACAAUGGAACUGAGACACGGUCCAUACUCCUACGGGAGGCAGCAGUAGGGAAUCUUCCACAAUGGGCGCAAGCCUGAUGGAGCAACACCGCGUGAGUGAAGAAGGGUUUCGGCUCGUAAAGCUCUGUUGUUAGAGAAGAACGUGCGUGAGAGCAACUGUUCACGCAGUGACGGUAUCUAACCAGAAAGUCACGGCUAACUACGUGCCAGCAGCCGCGGUAAUACGUAGGUGGCAAGCGUUAUCCGGAUUUAUUGGGCGUAAAGCGAGCGCAGGCGGUUUGAUAAGUCUGAUGUGAAAGCCUUUGGCUU
rnacentral:rRNA from 1 species